GAGAGACGAGGAGGACCGCGGACGUGUGGAGAGGCUCCGGUUGAUCACUCAGGGUGGUCCCGAGCCGUGAGUCGACGGAAUUCGGGUGGUCGUCUGACGUCGAAUUGAGCUCCAACGUAGCGCGCAAAGAACUUGGACUUUGAUAAGUAGUGGAACAAAAUCAGGUGAUUAAUCCAGCCGGAGACAUGGGAGAUUGUAGAUGUGGAAAUCUGGAGCAACAAGCAACCUGUUGGAGGAACUCCGAGGUCGAACAGCAUCUGUGGGAGGACAGGAAUUAUUGAUGUCACGGGUUGAAACCCUGCACACUGGUUGGCCCCAAUGGUUUUUUUUCUUUGCAAGAGUUCUCAUGUCCAAAAUGGUGAUGAUAGACAAGGAAGGAAAUCAUUUACAGAACAGCGAUCCUUUACGCUGUCUCAGUAUUGGCAGGGAAAGCCCUCUAUCUCUGACACAGAGCUGGGCAGAAGAAAAGAUCAUGGUAAAGAUCUUCCCCAUUCAUACAAGCCUGCAAGUGCUGAUCACACAGCAAACAGCCUACGUUGAUGGGAAUACUGGGAGGUGGGAUGAGACGGGAUGUGACGACAAGUUGAGAAAGCCAAGCAAAUGGAAGUGGCAGUCGUAAACAAAGCAGCUUUCCAUUAGACUGUAUCCCAUGUUUCUGCUGCAAAAAACUCUCCAAAACUUUUUCAACAGUGCCCGUCAAGCCCGUUCAAGGAGAACAAGGGUGGCAGGUGCAUGGGAACACCAUCCUUUCCAUUUUCCCCACCAAUUCACUAAUCAUCACUUAUUGUCAUUUCUGAACUUCAACGUGAACACCCCACCAUUUCCAACACUAGGGGAUCAACGUAACUAGGACUGUAUUCUGUCGAUGGCAUGAACAUCAAUUUCUCAAACUUCUGGUAAUGCCCCCACUUCUCUACUCCCCAUCCCCUUUUCCCUCUCUCACCUUAUCUCCUUGCCUGCCCAUUGUCUCCCCCUUUUUCUUUCUUCCAUGUCCUCUCCUAUUAGAUUCCCCCUUCUCCAGCCCUGUAUUUCUUUCACCAAUCAAAUUCCCAGCUCUUUACUUUACUCCUCCCCUCUCCUGGUUUCACCUAUCACCUUGAGCUUCUCCCUCCCCUCCCCCCACCUUCUAACUCUGACACCUCAUCUUUUUUACUCCAGACCUGCUGAAAGGUCUCAGCCCAAACAUCGACAGUACUCUUUUCCAUAGAUGCUCUCUGGCCUGCUGAGCUGUGUGUGUUGCUAGGUCAGUAUCAAUUCCAAAACCAUCACUUGGAGAGAUACUGUCAUUCUUGGGUCUCAACCCUGCACCUCCCCCUUCCCCUUUUCCAGUAGUAAAGAAGCAUUGUAACCAGGAUUGUUUCAGUUCCAGGAAGAACAAACAGACAUUUAGAGAUUCACUGCCAUUCCUGAGUCUCAACCAUGGGACUCCCCACCUUUUCUAGCACUUUAGAAAUAAUGUAAGCAGGACUGUAUCAGUUCCAGGUGGUUUCUCACUGCCAUCUUUCCAAGUUCAAAUAGGUACGGGAAAUAAACAAUGGCCCAGCUGGUGCACGCACAUGAUUUUUUUUUUAAGGAGAGUCAGUUGUGAAUCAGCCACUCAUCCCUCCCCACUGAUCUCCCUCCUGGCACUUACCCCUACAUGAGGGGCAAGUGCUACACCUGCUCCUUUAUUUCCUCAUCAUUACUCAGAGCCCUAAGCAGUCCUUCCAGGUUAGGUGCGUCUGUCAAAGUCAUCUACUGUAUCCAGUGCAGCCUUCUCUUUCUUUUUCAAUAUUUUUAUUGAUUUCUUACAUAAAAGAAUACAGAGUACAGUAGGAUAUAUAAUAUAUAUCAAUUACAGUAUAUUGGAAUCACAAAUAUAGUCUCAUUACCCCAUAUCCAUAUAUAUUAAAUUUAAACAUAAUAUUGAAAAGAGAUCAUUUUAUUAUACAAAAAAAAUCUAAACCCACUGCCAGAAUAAAAAACAGCUGUUUGGUUAAAAAACAGGAAAAAAAUCCUUAUCAUAUAAUAAAGCAUAGUGUUAGCCAACAUCCGUGCUUAAUAGCAUAUCAAAGAUUUUGAAAAUAAUUCAAGAAAGGUCCCCACAAUGUUAAAAAAUCUUGUCUCGGUUCAGAAAUUGAACAGCGAAUCUUCUCUAAAUUUAAGCAAGACAUAACGUCGUGUAACCAAUGAGUAUGAGUAGGUGGAGUGACAUCCUUCCACUUAAGCAACAAAGCCCUCCUGGCUAUGAGUGAAAUAAAGGCCAAAAUAUGCAAAUCAUGUGUCUCCAAAAUAUUAUUUCCUCCAACAAUAAGGCAGUCAAAGUAUUAGGUUUAAAAUUUACUUUAAUAAGCACCGAAAAAGUUUGGAAUAUUUCCUUCCAGUAUUUUUCAAGACUCGGAUAUGUCCAAAACAUCUGAAUUAGUGAAGCUUCUCCAUUGUUACAUCUAUCACAAUAGGGAGACGUAUCCGAAUAAAAAUGAGACAGCUUAUCUUUAGUCAUGUGGGCCCUAUGAGCUACUUCAAAUUGUAGAAGGAAAUGAUGGGCACAUAAUGAUAAGGUAUUAAGCAAUUUAAAAAUUUCAUUCCAAGUAUCCUCAGAAAUUGUGAUCUGUAAAUCUUGUUCCCAGCGAUUUUUAAUUUUGUGUAAAGGAAUAUUUCUCAUUCCCAACAACAUACCAUAAAUAUUAGAUAUAGAUCCAUUAUGGAAGGGUUUCAAAUUAAAAACUGUAUCAAGUAAAUUCUUACCUGGACUUUUAGGAAAUGUAUGUAUUUGAGAACGCAAAAAGUCUCUAAUUUGUAAAUAUCGAAAAAAGUGGGUUUUGGGUAAGCUAUACUUAGCUGACAGUUGAUCAAAUGAAGAGAGACUAUAUCCAACAAACAAAUCCUGAAAACAUUUAAUACCCAAUCUAUUCCACUCUUUAAAAACUACAUCAGUCAUGGAAAGUUUAAAAAAAAGUUAGAAAAAAUGGGACUUGAAAGUGGAAAAACUCAAUAAACCAAAAUAUUUUCUAGAUUGUACCCAAAUCCUCAAAGUGUGUUUAACUACAAAAUUAUCAGUUAAAUUACUUAAAGAUGAAGGAAUUGAGGAUCCGAAAAGAGAAAUGUCAGAAAAUUUAUUAACAGAAUUAGCUUCUAAAGAAACCCAGACUGGACAGUCCUCUCGAUUAAUAUAACCAAAACGUAAGAUUCCGUAUAUUGACUGCCCAGUAAUAAAACCUAAAAUUGGGUAAGGCUAAACCUCCAUUCUCUUUAGCUUUUUGAAGAUGAACUUCAUUUAAUCGAGAAAUUUUAUUUUUCCAUAGAUAAGAAGAUAUAAUAGAAUCCAGAGAAUCAAAAAAGGAUUUAGGAAUAAAAACAGGAUCGAACCAAUAGAAUCAAUUAGCUAUCAACAAAGAAAUAAUCAGUCCUGGAAUACGUAUGAUGAACAUGAGAAAAUAAGUGGAUAAGGCCUGCCCUGAACUUUUCCUUGUGUUUCUUCAACAUGCUCUCACUGUCAAUCAGCGUCUGCUGGAAAUUCAUCCAUUCACCAUUCAGGGACUCCAGUCGGUAACGGACCUUUGGGAGAGGAACAAGAGAGGGAACCCGAGUAAAUCCAUCAGCACAUUGCUUGCCAUCUCACUCAGUAGGGUGGUGAACUUGUUCUGCCACUCACUGCAGUGCUGGACGAGGGAGAAUUUGAGUGGAGAACAGUCCAGGAGCACAAACUGAAUCUGUACGACCGUCUCUUCCUUCUGCACAUUGUUGGCCACCUCUGUGUAUCUGCAAACAAAGAGCAGAGUUGCAGAGGGAUGACGUGUGCAACUUCAGUGACAACUGAGAUCCAAAGAGGAAUAAGCAAGUGCCACAGUUCAGGAAGCAGGAGGGUAAAUAACGUCAUUCUGAUUGAAGCCAGAGGAUUGAAGGAAGGUCAUUGAUGAAGCAGCUGAAGAUGGUUGGUCUGAGGACACUUCCCUGAGGAACUUCUGCAGUGAUGUCCUGAGGAUGAGAUGAUUGACCUCCAACCACCACAGCCAUCUUCCUUUGUGUCAGACACUUCCUGACCUGCUGAGUAGCAGUUUCUAUUUUCGUUAGUCUCCAGCAAAGUUGCUGCCUGAAACCCCUGUUCAUUACUACGUGAGUACUGUCACUGAGAUGAAAUAAUGAUUCACUUAUCACGUCUCAACACCUGCCUUGCAACCUCUCACAACCACAUACUCCUAAUUUUAACCUUGGGUGCACUUCACUGAUAUUUCACUUCUGUGUGGGAAACGAAAGAUAUCUAUGGAAAUAUCUAUGGAAACGUGGGCCAUUCAGCCCUUCAGUUGCUGCUUGCACAAACAGUUCAUGGCUGAUACUCUAUUCUUCCUGUCUGAUCAUACAUUCCCUGAUAUUGAUUGACAUCUCCUUAGCGCAAGGGGUUUAGAUGGGGUGGAGUUUGUUAGGUGUGUUCAGGAAGGUUUCCUGAUGCAAUAUGUAGAUAAGCCAACUAGAGGAGAGCUGUACUUGAUCUGGUAUUGGGUAAUUAACCUGGUCUCUAGGUGGGAGGUAGUGACCACAACUCUAUCUCAUUUACCAUAGUGCUGGAGAGGGAUAGGAGCAGAUAAUUUGGGAAAACAUUUAAUUGGGGUAGGGGGAAAUAUGAUGCCAUCAGGCAGGAACUUGGGAGCAUGAAUAGGGAGCAUAUGUUCUCAGGGAAAUGAACAGUAGAAAUGUGGCAUACGUUCAGGGAACAUUUGCAUGGAAUUCUGCAUAGGUAUGUUCCAAUGAGGCAGGGAAAGGAUGGUAGGGUUAAAGAACCAUAUGUACAAAGGAUGUAGAACAUCUAGUUAAGAAGAAAAGAAAGGUUUACAAAAGGUUCAAGAAAAUAGGUACUGUUAGAGGUCUAGAAAAUUACAAGGUUGUUAGGAAGGAGCUUAAGAGUGGAAUUAGAAAAGUCAGAAAGGGCCAUGCUAAGGCCUUGGUGAGCUGGAUUAAUGAAAAUCCCAAGGCAUUCUACAAGUAUGUAAGAGCAAGAGGAUGAGCCAUAUGAGAAUAAGACCAAUCAGGUGCAAUGGUGGAAACAUGUGCAUGGAGUCGGAGGAGGUAGCGGAGGUACUUAAUAAAUACUUUACUUCAGUAUUCACCAGUGAAAAAGACAUUGGCCAUUGUGGGGAUGACUUACAGAAAAGUCACCGGAUCCGGACGGGAUAUACCCCAGGCUUCUGUGGGAAGUGAGGGAGGAGAUUGCUGAACCUGUGGCGAUAAUCUUUGCAUCAUCAAUAGGAAUGGGAGAAGUACCGGAGGAUGGCAGGGUUGUGGAUGUUGUUCCCUUGUUCAAGGAAGGGAGUAGAGAUAACCCAGGAAGUUAUAGACCAGUGGUGGGAAAGUUGCUGGAGAAGAUCCUAAGAGGCAAGAUUUAUGAGCAUUUGGAGAGACAUAAUCUGGUGAGGGAUAGUCAGCAUGGCUUUGUCAAGGGCAGGUCAUGCCUUACGAGCUUGAUUGAAUUCUUUGAGGAUGUAACAAAACACAUUGAUGAAGGUGGAUGUUGUGUAGUAAGACAUUUGAUAAGGUUCUCCAUGCAAGGCUCCUUCAGAGAGUAAGGAAGCAUGGGAUCCAAGGAGACCUUGCUUCGUGGAUCCAGAAUUGGCUUGCCCAGAGAGAGCAAAAGGUGGUUGCAGAUGGUUCAUAUUCUUCAUGGAGGUUGGAGCAAUGGAGGAUGAGACGUGACUUGACAGAGGUGCAUAAGAUGAUGAAGGGCAUUGAUUGUGUGGAUAGUCAGAGACAUUUUCCCAGGGCUGAAAUAGCUAA